rnacentral:rRNA from 1 species
UACAGAGGUCUCAAGCGUUGUUCGGAUUCAUUGGGCGUAAAGCGCGCGUAGGCGGUUCGGUAAGUCGGGUGUGAAAACACGAGGCUCAACCUCGUGCGUGCAUCCGAUACUGCCGGACUAGAGGUAGGUAGGGGAGAUCGGAAUUCCUGGUGUAGCGGUGAAAUGCGCAGAUAUCAGGAAGAACACCUGCGGCGAAGGCGGGUUGCUGGGCUGACACUGACGCUGAAGCGCGAAAGCCAGGGGAGCGAACGGG